CAGAGACAGCAACAGACGACACAGAGAAAGUAAUGGAGAGAGACAGAAGAAUAGAUUUCCAGACAGUUGUAGAAUGUAUGCCAAGACACAUUGUAAGAGCUAUAAAGAGAGAGGGAGAGAGAACAGGCAGAACCUGAUAUGUAAAUGAGCAGGGCAAAUGAAACUAACUUUUGACGACCCGAUGAUCCUUCAGACUGUGUUUCUAUUGAGAGAUAAAAGGCUGGUUGAAUGAGUUGCCUGCGAAAACUACUUCAUCUGUAAGAAAACAGGCGUCUGCACCAGUGACUGGGUCAGUGCUCUAAAAUGAGUCUCUCUGGGGAGAGAGAGGAGGGGGGCCCUGCCUCUAAAAUGCAUCUCUCUGGGGGACAUGACACCAAAGCUAAGAGACCAAUCCAGCAGGAGAGACCAGCCUCCCCUGUUCCCAGCUGUGUGUCCAUGAAGAGUGACCGGUCUAUGCUUCUACCUAUACAGUUUAGAGAGGGAGACUUUUCUUCUGAACAAAGGUAAGAAGAACUCAUGGGUCCUGGUCAGUGAGUUAAACAACACUGUCUCUAGUCAUUUCUCCUCUUUCAUUUUCCCAUUUAUUGUUGUUGUUUUCAU